GACGAACGCUGGCGGCGUGCUUAACACAUGCAAGUCGAACGGAAAGGCCCCCACUUUUUUGGUGGGGGUGCUCGAGUGGCGAACGGGUGAGUAACACGUGGGUGAUCUGCCCUGUACUUCGGGAUAAGCUUGGGAAACUGGGUCUAAUACCGGAUAGGACCAUGGUUUAGUGUCUCAUGGUGGAAAAAUUAUUGUUUUGGUGCAGGAUGAGCUCGCGGCCUAUCAGCUUGUUGGUGGGGUAAUGGCCUACCAAGGCGUCGACGGGUAGCCGGCCUGAGAGGGUGGACGGCCACAUUGGGACUGAGAUACGGCCCAGACUCCGACGGGAGGCAGCAGUGGGGAAUAUUGCACAAUGGGCGCAAGCCUGAGGCAGCGACGCCGCGUGGGGGAUGACGGCCUUCGGGUUGUAAACUCCUUUCGUUAGGGACGAAGCCGCACCUUUUUUGGGUGUGGUGACGGUACCUUUGUUAAGAAGCACCGGCUAACUACGUG
rnacentral:rRNA from 1 species